rnacentral:rRNA from 1 species
UACGUAGGGUGCAAGCGUUAAUCGGAAUUACUGGGCGUAAAGCGUGCGCAGGCGGUUUUGUAAGUCUGACGUGAAAUCCCCGGGCUCAACCUGGGAAUUGCGUUGGAGACUGCAAGGCUAGAAUCUGGCAGAGGGGGGUAGAAUUCCACGUGUGAGCAGUGAAAUGCGUAGAGAUGUGGAGGAACACCGAUGGCGAAGGCAGCCCCCUGGGUCAAGAUUGACGCUCAUGCACGAAAGCGUGGGGAGCAAACAGGG